AACGAACGCUGGCGGCGUGGAUAAGACAUGCAAGUCGAACGGGACAGACCGAGUAGCAAUAUUUGGAAUGUUCUGGCGAACGGGUGCGUAACACGUGGAUAACAUUCCGGAAAGCGGGGAAUAGCCCAGGGAAACUUGGAUUAAUACCGCAUGUGGCCGCAAGGCUAAAGACGGGGACCGCAAGGCCUGUCACUUUCCGAUUGGUCCGCGGCCUAUCAGCUAGUUGGCGGGGUAAUGGCCCACCAAGGCUACGACGGGUAGCUGGUCUUAGAGGACGACCAGCCACACUGGAGCUGAGACACGGUCCAGACACCUACGGGUGGCAGCAGUCGAGAAUCUUUCACAAUGGGGGCAACCCUGAUGGAGCGACGCCACGUGGAGGAUAAGGUCUUCGGAUUGUAAACUCCUGUCAUGCGAGAACAAGGUACUCAGGCUAAUAACCUGAUUGUUUGAUGGUACCGCAAGAGGAAGAGACGGCUAACUCUGUGCCAGCAGCCGCGGUAAAAC
rnacentral:rRNA from 1 species